AAUAAAUGACGCCGUUGACUUUUUCUCACAUGUUUGACCAUUCGUCUUAUUCAAAAAAUUUACGUAAUUAUAAUUUAUUUUAUUAUGAGUUGUUUUAUCACUCAUAGUACUUUAAGUGUGAUUUAUAUCUUAUACAUUUGCAUAAAAUUUUUAAUAAGACGAAUGGUUAAACAUGUGAGAAAAAGUCAACGGCGUCAUCUAUU
rfam:Oryza sativa Japonica Group DNA, chromosome 4, cultivar: Nipponbare, complete sequence.